rnacentral:tRNA from 1 species
CUCAACGUAGCUAGUUAAGUGCUGAAUUCUUACUUCAGUGAUGUGUUUUACCGUUGGGU